GUGGGGAAUUUUGGACAAUGGGCGCAAGCCUGAUCCAGCAAUGCCGCGUGCAGGAAGAAGGCCUUCGGGUUGUAAACUGCUUUUGUACGGAACAAAACGGUCCUGGUUAAUACCUGGGGCUAAUGACGGUACCGUAAGAAUAAGCACCGGCUAACUACGUGCCAGCAGCCGCGGUAAUACGUAGGGUGCAAGCGUUAAUCGGAAUUACUGGGCGUAAAGCGGGCGCAGGCGGUUUUGUAAGACAGGCGUGAAAUCCCCGGGCUCAACCUGGGAAUUGCGCUUGUGACUGCAAGGCUGGAGUGCGGCAGAGGGGGAUGUAAUUCCGCGUGUAGCAGUGAAAUGCGUAGAUAUGCGGAGGAACACCGAUGGCGAAGGCAAUCCCCUGGGCCUGCACUGACGCUCAUGCACGAAAGCGUGGGGAGCAAACAGGAUUAGAAACCCGGGUAGUCC
rnacentral:rRNA from 1 species